rnacentral:piRNA from 1 species
UCUGAUGGAAUUUCGGCAUUUUGUCUCCGU